rnacentral:rRNA from 1 species
GAUGAACGCUGGCGGCGUGCCUAAUACAUGCAAGUCGAGCGAACGGACGAGAAGCUUGCUUCUCUGAUGUUAGCGGUGGACGGGUGAGUAACACGUGGAUAACCUACCUAUAAGACUGGGAUAACUUCGGGAAACCGGAGCUAAUACCGGAUAAUAUUUUGAACCGCAUGGUUCAAAAGUGAAAGACGGUCUUGCUGUCACUUAUAGAUGGAUCCGCGCUGCAUUAGCUAGUUGGUAAGGUAACGGCUUACCAAGGCAACGAUGCAUAGCCGACCUGAGAGGGUGAUCGGCCACACUGGAACUGAGACACGGUCCAGACUCCUACGGGAGGCAGCAGUAGGGAAUCUUCCGCAAUGGGCGAAAGCCUGACGGAGCAACGCCGCGUGAGUGAUGAAGGUCCUCGGAUCGUAAAACUCUGUUAUUAGGGAAGAACAUAUGUGUAAGUAACUGUGCACAUCUUGACGGUACCUAAUCAGAAAGCCACGGCUAACUACGUG